GGGAGGGUGGUCUAGACUGGUAUGAUACCGUAAAGGUUUGUUCUUUAUGGCUUAAAACUUGGCUGGGGGCCAAGUGGCCGGGGGUUCGAAUCCCUCCCCUCCCA
rnacentral:tRNA from 1 species